rnacentral:rRNA from 1 species
AUUGAACGCUGGCGGCAGGCCUAACACAUGCAAGUCGAACGAGUGGCGGACGGGUGAUUAAUGUCUGGGAACCUGCCCGAUGGAGGGGGAUAACUACUGGAAACGGUAGCUAAUACCGCAUCCCAUCGGCUGUGCCUAGGUGGGAUUAGCUUGUUGGGUGGGUAACGGCUCACCAAUGCGACGAUCCCUAGCUGGUCUGAGAGGAUGACCAGCAACACUGGAAAUGAUAGACGGUCCAGACUCCGACGGGAGGCAGCAGUGGGGAAUAUUGGACAAUGGGCGCAAGCCUGAUGCAGCCAUGCGGCGUGUAUGAAGAAGGUCUUCGGGUUGUAAAGUACUUUAAGCGGGGAGGCGUUACCCACAGAAGAAGCACCGGCUAACUCCGUGCCAGCAGCCGCGGUAAUAC